CAAAGACCCACUAAGCUCACUCUGAGAAAGCCUCGUUUCUUGGGAUAGCAUCAUGCAGUGACACAGGUGAUCAGAUUUACCGCAGGACUAUUGCAUUAUUUCUUUGAACUUCAAAACAGAAGAAGAACAGAUUUCAAGUCAUAUCAGCAGCCAGAUAAGUACAAUCUUAAUUGCAAUAUUGAUAUGGAACAACUUUAAAGCUUUAUGGCUGUAUAGUCCUUUGUACUAACGUGGAUCAGAGUAACACACAAAGAAGUUGGGCUACAAACCCAGGACAUUAUUCCUACAUUUCUGCUCAGGAAUGAAUCUUAGUUGCAAGGGAAGAAAAAAUUAUGUUGCUAUUUUCCUAUUCUUUUAAUGGGGAAAGGGCUUUUUUUUGUUUCAUUUGCUUUUUGUGAGAAAUACUACUUUGUACAUACACAAGGGAAUUCAAAUAAUGAAUUGAUGUUUAGAAACACGGAAGACCACUGUGAUUUCUUUGCUUUGCAAGUAAAUAAAUGUCAUAGGUACAGAAAAUGUACCCUUGAGGAAACAAGUGUCCCAUUUUAAUUAUGCCAAACAACUUUCUUGACAACUGGACAACAUUUUCUGAACAACAUUUUGGCAAUAGAACGCUUUAAAAGGCAUUUUAUAAGGCUACACAAUCCAAACUAUUUCCUUUUCUUAAGUGAAGUAUUUUAGCAACUAGGAAGUAAGGGAACAGGAGGGAAAAGUUCCUUCCCUUUGUUUCACUGAUGGUGAGGGGAAGUGAGGGCAGGCACAUUUGAGUUGCUGUGAUUGCACACAAACAGCACCUGCCUCCAUUUGCCACAGCCAUAUGAGAAUUGGAGACAAAACUAGAAUUGCUCAACGUUUUCAGAAUCCAGAACAACAGGUCAUGACUAAAUACUGCCCUCCUCUAAUUUAAACUCAAGGAGAGCCACAUACUUGGAUUGCAGUGCAAAUUCAAACCUUUGAAUUUAGCUUGUCUUCUAAGUAAUUCUGGCAAAUAUAUUUUCUUGAAUGACUCUUCUCAAGCAGAAAUAGAUACUGAAAUCAAAAGUUUCUCAUGGAGUCCUAAGGAAGGCAAGAUACUGCUUAUAUUUUAAAAUUAAUUUGAAAAUGUCUAAAUAUCAGUGAUAUUUUUGAAAGUGCUGAAGAGUUCUGCUGUGGGAUAGAAAAGUGACUAUCUUGCUUUUAGCUCAUCUGUCUUUCCAAGAUACUUAUCUGAAACUUUGGAUAAAUAUGCAGCCCCUAAGAUAGACAAAAUACUGAUAACUGUCAAGGAUUAGGCCAUGCAAAACUAAACAUGAUUUUCUUUGAAGGUCAUUCAAAUUUUAAUGUUUCAGGUAUAUAAUAUGACUCAUUUCUUUAUUUGAAAUUAAUUAAAAUAUUUAAUAUAUUCAGCAUACAUCACUAGAAAAGUCAUCUACUCUUUGGGUAGAUGGGGUUCUCUUGUCAUACAAGAAAUGUUAAUAAUGUUGAUCCUAAAAAGAAAUAGUUUCAAAAAGAACACAAUUGAAAUUUGAAAAUAAAUGUGUUCAGGUUUUCACUUGCAUGCUGCAGUACUUCCUAAUCACAAAACAGUGUCACUCCUGCACACAACAAGCCAUCAACUAUUUUUAUUUUCACCUAAGCCUUUACACAAAGUAUUAAUUUACUUUGCAGCAUAAUGGAACCAGUUCUGCUGUCAGCACAGAGAGCUGCUGUGCACUGCAUCAGAAAGAGAGAUGACAGAAAUUCCAGCAGCAGCAGAAUUUAAAUGUCUUGCCUGUAAUUUUGUUCAGUAGCAUCUUUGUACAUCUGACAUGUGAAAUAUGUCUUUAGCUUUUGAGACAACAAAUGACAUUUGGUUUUGCUAAGAAGGCUUAGCAAAGGAAAGGCACAUUCAAAAUGUCAUUUGUGUUACCACAGAGGUGUCAUCUAAAAAUGAGCCUAAAUAUCUUUGGAAUAUUUUAUUACUUGGAAAUUUUUCCAAAAAUACCAUUAAACAAUUCAAUUUUUUUCCUUCUGGAAAUGCAGACAAGUGGACCUAGUUUUAUGCAUUUAUUUCUCCACUAUUUUUUACCCCAGCCCUCCCAAUUCAGUUGUCUUGGAAAAUGCCAAAACAUGAACUGAUUUCUGAGAAGACAAUGAAGACCACAGCAAAACCUGAGCAUAUUUCUAUCCCAUUUCAUAGAGUAUUAAGUCUAGUGCAUUUUGAACUUCCAAAAGUUAAACAUCCUGUGGGCACAGGAGAACCUAUUUAAAUAGGUUUAAAUAGGUUUUAUUUAAAAAGACCAGUUUUGCUGAAUUAAAAACAUAAAUCUAGUUGUUUGGAAAGACUAAAAGGCCUUUUCCUUUUAGUCUUUCCAAACAUUUUCAUUUUUUCAUUUAUCAAUGUGAUAAUAAGAUUUCCUUAAAAACAGAUGAACUUCAAAUGUCCUUCUCAUUAGCAUGCUGGUAUUUUCCAGUAUUUGUAUUUACUGGCAACCUUUUUGUCCUUCCAGGAGAGAGCACUUAUACUUAUUUACACAAAAUAAAGACAGCUUCUCUUUGUAAGUUCAAUAUUUUGGGCAAGCAGUAAUAUACCAUUCUUCUAGCCAGUCUUAGCAGGAAAUAGUCCUAGUGCUGAUCACAAUGAGAUGACUCGUGGUCUCAGCUCAUUUUGAGAAGUUUAGUAAACAUGUUAUCUCUGGCACAGGGCUGAUGUAAUGUUUAUAAGUUCAGUCUGUCCUGUUUUGCCAUUGUUGGUGAUACUCUUGUUACCAAAACAGCCUAAAAGUCUUUUCUUCAUCAUAACCUUCUGAAGGUCACAUAGAGAUGAUGUUUCAUCAUGAUCUAAUAUUUGAAACACAUUUUUAAAGAGAAAUCUUCCAUGCUGUCAAAACACCUCCCUGAAUUUAAAACUUUAAUUCUUAUAAUAAAGCUUGAACAACUUGAUACAGCAGACAGCUUUUAACUCAUCAACUGAUCUCUAUGUAAGUAAAAUCCAUUUUGUCUAAAUAAUGAAUAAGUCAUAUGGUGGGUUAUCUGUAUGACUGCAAAUGUUUACUUAACAUUAUGGUUAGAUGAGCAUGUAUAUUCGUUAACAUAAGGAUAAAUAUAUGUCCCUCAGGACACUUGAGCUGACAUAAUCACAGAGGAAAAGCUUUAAGUGUAAAGUAGAAAGAAAGAGAAAAAACUCUGCAGUCUGGAUAACCUGUUUUGUAAAGAUUCUGAAAAGGCAUCGUGUUUGUUAAUACUCUUUUUACACUCAACACAUUUUCCAUUUCAAACUAUCAUUAGAGUGUUUGAAUUGUGACUAUGAUCAUGUCACCCACACUUUUCUCCCUUUAAUUUCUAGGCUUGCAGCCUAUCAGUUUAAAUGAACUCAAUGUAAUCCUGGCACUCCAGGCUGCAGUGACUCCAUCACCUCUGUGCUCAUGUGUCACCAUCUGGAACCCCACUAGAAAUGCUGCCAUGGAAAAUCAACCCAGCUCCUCAAUCCUGAGCCGUGUCAGGAGGUGUCAAAGCUUAAAACUGUAUCCUCUGAUAAGAAAUGGCAGAAAGAGAGGGUUCUAGUGAUGUUUCCCUCCAUCCCAGCACAGGUGCUGUACCGAGGUUACUGUUUCCUGACUGGAGACACUCUCAGCCUUCCCAGCUGCAGAACACAAAGUUCCUUCUCCUCAGUAUGUGCUGUUCCAAACCUGCACUGGAAGUAGAGCAAAGCCAAAGCAGCCUGUUGUUUUCAAUCCAAGUGCCUGGACUCUACAACCAUUUGCCCCCUCCUACUCCCAACCCCAAGUUCUACAUGACUGCAUUCUGAAAAACAUUAAGUAAUAAUCCAGCAACAACAAAAAAAGGAGCUUUCCACACUUAAGGCAGAUAUACAAUGACUUCCUUUAUAUAUAUAUAUAUAUAUAUAUAUACACAAAAAUAUGUUCUGAUCUGAGAGCUCAGCUAAGUAAUUUAGUGGUGCCUACUGACUUCUGUUAGCCUCCUUGGCAUUAUUAUUGGAUAAAUUAACUCAAACAGAAGGCUUAUAUAUGAUGAAAAAGAUCUCUGGCUGGAGUGUGAAAGAGGUAAUAAAUAGUUUUGCACUCUGUCCUCCAAAUACUGAAAGAAACAUGGCAGCCUAAAACAUUCCAAUUGGAAGAGCACACUGGAAAAGGAGAUGGAGAAAAGUAGGCUCUGAAAGAAAGAUCAUAGGAAAAAAUAAUAGAGAUUAACAAAAAUUCUGUAGGAGUCCUGUUUCUUAACAUGUGUUAAGAUUUCUAUCAUUGCUGAUGUUAAUAAUUGACAUGAAGUACAGUGGGAGUUAGAUAACAGCAGGAACGUUCAGGCCAGGACUCAUUUCAUUUUCCAGUAGUGUGAGGCACUGAGUAAUGGGGAAAUGCACAACCAUGUCAGAGAUGAUCUUGCUUCACUGAAUUACACCUUGAGGAAUUUUAUUCUGUCUAGAAAAAGAUUCCUCCUUGUGUCAUGCAACAGGAUGUGUUCUUCAGAGAAGUGAAAAGAACAGGAAGUUAAUUUUGUGUCCAUGAAAGUGAGGAAUUAAUAGCAAAGCCUUAAGUCAGAUAUAAGCUGCAUGGGUAUUGUGUAAGCCUCAUCACACAGCACUGCCAUCUCACCCCAAUUUAUGAUCUGGAACACAGAAACUUUUACAGCUUUUAGUUGGAACUGCAAGUUGUACCAAAGCAUACAGUGAAUUUAUAAAUACAAGGGAAAGAGCUAAAAGCUCCAAAUUCCUUUUGCUCUUUCACCUAGCUCAAGUGUAAGCUGGGCACAUUGUGAUGACACACUGCACCUCCAGACUCUGCAGAUUACACUGCUGGUAUUUGAGUUCAGGGUUUAAAUACAGUCACUCCAUAUUCUCUGAACUCAGGAUGUAUGUGGAGGCCAAGAUGAGCUUUUCAGCACAAGCAAGUACAAAUAAAUGAGUAGGAUCAACUUGAGCAUGAGCUCUGUGAUCACAUGGGCAAGCCGUAUUUUAAUUUUCACCAUCAUAUCCAAUAGGAGUCCUCACACAGUGCCAGAAAAUCUCAGCCCAUGAGCUCAGUGUCCUCUGAGUGCAGCUUUCCAGCCCCCAGAAUUCACCACAGAAAGGGAAAUCAGGCUUUUGCUUAUCUUUAUACUGCCAGAGUCCUUGCUUUCAAGUUCAUACCACCAAAAGCCAGCUCAAACCAGAGGUGAAUCUACUUCAUGAUACAACAAACGGCUAUCACUGUUAUUUGUCCUGUAUGUUCUUAUCUCACAGUUUGCAAUUAAUCACCACCCUGGAAAUCAAACACUAAGCUAUUUGUACAUUCUCUUUGAAAAUACAUUUCAAUUUCCUUUUACUUGAACUGUCCUGUCCUUUGCCACACCUGCUAAGUGCAUCAAUCUGCACAGCACACGCUGGAUAUACCUGAUGACUCCCACGAGACAGAGAGAACAUAAUCACUAUAGAGAGAACACAGGACUGAAAAGUGUGAUGCAAUUAAGUACAGAGGGAUGUGUGUUCAUUAGCAAAUAACCACAUUUGCAUGGUGAAGAUAGUUACAGUAUGUUGUGACUGAAGACCAGGUUCUGUUCUCAGAAACAUGAAGUUCUCUUCAGUGUGUCACCGUGUCAGCUACAUGAGCACCAAGUCUGUAUUAAACACCAAAAUCCUGUGCAGGAAAACUGUAAAUCUAAUUCCAUCUAUUUAAUAUAUAGAAACAUUUUUUGAUGCAUGUUAGUUUAGCCUUUGUGAACUUUAAGUUUAUCCUAUUCUAAGCUGUUGAAAUCUAUCUUGUUCUCCUCUGUCUGGAGGGAUUUUGUACUUUGCAGAGAAGACAAUUGGGAGAGGCUGAUUUUAUGGGAACAGCAGGGCACAUGGACUGGUCUCCUAUCUAACAUUUAGAGGGAAGAUUUCCCUGAUUUCAGCACAGCUCACAGGCUUUGACCAGGUUUCCAAGGAUGGAGAAUAAAUCAGGAAUGCAGUUCAUUCAUCUGUGGAGGCACCAAUCCAAGGCUGAGGGAGUAAUCAAGUACAGGCUAUUUAAAAAACAUUUCACUGAUCAAAUAACCCACUAUUCACAUACAGUUACUUUAUCUCCUGUGAUGGAAAAAAUCCUUGAGAUCAAUUAAAUAAAGUAGAGACAUCGAUGAUGACUGUAAUCAUCCUUUUAUUUCUAUUAUUUACACUUCAGCUUACACAGAAGGAUGUACCUGCUUGGUGACCAAAUCAAUUGUACUGCAGAAUUAUGGACAAUUACUGCUAACAGUUGAGCACAACAAAAGAGGGGAAAGGUAGUCCUUGGUGGGGGGUUUGCACAUACUCAACUAUGAACAACAAAGUACCACCAAAAUCUCUAUAAUACAGAAUAUUUUAGUGUCUUGAUUUAUGUGUAACUUCUUUUUUUGCCCCUCAAAGCCUCACUUCCUUAAAUCACUCCUAGGAGAAAUCAUUUAAUUGCAUGUCUUUAUUAGUCUCUGGAAUGAAUUCAAUGCAAAUUUUAACUAUAACAGGUAAAUGAGUUUUACUCUGGCCUAUUUGGGAGCAGUUUUAUUCACAUUUAUUGACAAUUUGAGUCUUUGCCCACUCGAGUACAGUAGCAGAGAAUAUCCUGGGCUGAAAAAGGGCAGUGGGCUGUCCCAGAACAGCACAGGACAGAGCAGUGCCAGCAGGAACAUGACAGUUCCUACAGUACCUGCAGUAGUCACAAACUUCAGUUCCUCAGUUUAGACACCUUGGCAAUAGAGUUCCUGACAGAUGGAAAAUGCAGUGCCAGUGCUAAUUAUGUGCUUGGUCUAUAUCUCUCCAGCAGACAUUGCAUUUUUCAGCCUGAAACUGGUAUUUCCUAGGUAAGAACUAGACUAAUCCAGCUUGGUAUUUCCCUGAAUUUGUGUGCAAUCUCCAUUAUUCUUCAAGUUAUCUUUUAGUUUUCCUCUGUCCUGCAGGUUCAUCCUAAAGGUGAAAAGUUUAUUGUGAAUUGUAUUUAUAAUAUAAAAGAUAGUGACAGUUGAAGCCCUUAGAAUAAGAAUUAUUUCAUUUUAUUUCUCCUUUUGACAUUAAUGUUUUAUGACAUGUGUGACUGCAAAGGAAAUAUCCCAGGUGAAUAUUGACAGAAUACUGAUUCUCUCUCUUUUUAGUUCCUGUGGUCUCUAGCACAAGAAAAUAGCUAGAAUAGCUAGAAACCAAUUCCCUAACAAUUUUAAAAUGAAUUUUGCCUCUUUUCCCACAGAAACCAAGCUGUUCCUGGUUUACUGUAAGAAAGAAAUUCCUUAAAAUCAGAUCACCAAAAAAUCUGUUAUUAUUUGCCUAAAUUAUUAUCUAAAAAGUUCAACAACUGUACUAGUGAAAAAGGAUUAAGAAUAACAUUUUUUGAAGCAAUAAUUUGUUUUUCUCA